CCUAUUUCUGCACCCUCAUCUCUCCUUCCGUCAUUAUCUACAUUCCAACUUCUUUGGUUUGGGUUUGGAUGAUGUGGACAUUGGGAAGCAGAAAGGAGAUUACUUUACCACAAUUCGUAUGAGCAGUCAAGGCUUACAUCUGCAGCAAACUAUUAACAAUGCUUCUUCUCCUAAUUUGAGGUACCGCAUACAAAGCCCUACAUUGCUCCAACGUCUUGAUAUCCCCAAUCCACAAAAUCCUAGUUUGUGCUUUGCCUUGGAGUUUGUUCCAUCUAACCACCC
rnacentral:lncRNA from 1 species